GCGCUUGUAGCUCAACUGGAUAGAGCAUCGGUCUACGGAACCGAAGGUUGCAGGUUCGAAUCCUGCCAGGCGCA
rnacentral:tRNA from 1 species